UACGUAGGGUGCGAGCGUUAUUCGGAAUUAUUGGGCGUAAAGCGUGCGUAGGCGGCUUUGCAAGUCCGCUGUGAAAUCCCCGGGCUUAACCUGGGAAUGGCAUUUGGGACUGCAAGGCUGGAGUGCGGCAGAGGAGACUGGAAUUCCUGGUGUAGCAGUGAAAUGCGUAGAUAUCAGGAGGAACACCGAUGGCGAAGGCAGGUCUCUGGGCUGACACUGACGCUCAUGCACGAAAGCGUGGGGAGCAAACAGG
rnacentral:rRNA from 1 species